CUUCAAACUCGCGCCUAGGGAUGAGCCGGCGGCGGAUUAGGCUGUUGGCGGGGUAACGGCCCACCAAACCAUAGAUCCGUAGGGGCCUUGAGAGAGGUAGCCCCGAGAGGGACACUGAGAUACCGGUCCCAGCCCUACGGGGUGCAGCAGGCGCGAAACCUCUACAAUGCACGAAAGUGUGAUAGGGGGAUCCAGAGUGCUUAUACAUUGUAUAGGCUUUUGCCAAAGUUAAAUCCUUUGGCGAAUAAGUGGUGGGUAAGACUGGUGCCAGCCGCCGCCGUAACACCAGCGCCACAAGUGGUCGUCGCGAUUAUUGGUCCUAAAGCGUUCGUAGCCGGUCCUGUAAAUCUUCUGUGAAAUCGUUUCGCUCAACGUAACGACGUGCAGGAGACACUGCAGAACUUGAGACCGGGAGGAGCUAGGAGUAUUCUUGGGGGAGCGGUAAAAUGUUAUAAUCCCUUGAAGACUACCUGUGGCGAAGGCAUUUAACCAGAACGGAUCUGGCUGUGAGGAACGAAAGCUAGGGGAGCGAUCCGGAUUAGAUACCCGAGUAGUCCUAGCUGUAAACGCUGCGAGCUAGGUGUUGCAUAUUCUUCGAGAUUAUGCAGUGUCGAAGCGAAGGUAUUAAGCUCGCCGCCUGGGAAAGUACGGUCGCAAGGCUGAAACUUAAAGGAAUUGGCGGGGGAGCACUACAAGGGGUGCGGCGUGCGGUUUAAUCUAACUCCACACAGAGAAUCUCACCAGAAGCGACGGCAGGAUGAAGGUCAGUCUAAAGGGCUUACCUGACGAGCCGAGAGGUAGUGCAUGGCCGCCGUCAGCUCGUAAGGUGUCCUGUUAAGUCAGGCAACGAGCGAGACCUGUAUCCACAAUUGCUAACGACUCAUUUUGAGAAUCGAGCACAUUGUGGGGACUGCCUUGGAAACAAGGAGGAAGGUGCAGGCAACGGUAGGUCUGUAUGCUCCGAAUCUUCUGGGCUACACGCGCGCAACAAUGGUGCAGACAAUGGGUCGCAACUCCGAAAGGAGAAGCUAAACCUCGAAACUGCAUCUAAGUACAGAUUGAGGGUUGUAACCCACCCUCAUGACGCUGGAAUCCCUAGUAAUCGAACGUCAUCAGCGUUCGGUGAAUAUGUCCCUGCUCCUUGCACACACCGCCCGUCAAACCACCCGAGUAGGGUCUAGAUGAGGCUCCGCUUAUUGGUUGAUCCGAA
rnacentral:rRNA from 1 species